GGGAAUAAAAACACAUCAUGGUUGGUAGUCCAUGAGCGGGCCGCGCUCCCGUCAGUAGCCCUCCCUCCCGGGUCGUCCGUUUCCCGA
rnacentral:ncRNA from 1 species